GCUCUAUUUGUGUUCUUCAAAUCAUUGUUCCUCUCAUCAAUAGUAGCUUCAAGCUCCUUGAGCCUUGCACUGAAUCUUUCAUAAGCAGUUUUAAUGACAGGAUCUGCUUCCCAGGAUGGUUCCAAUGUGUCUCCAAUGUAUUCCUCAUCAGGUGAAUGGUUAGAUAGAACAUCCAAAAUGGCCAUCACUUUAGUUGCUUGCUGCUGUGAAGGGAAGCAUUUUAACAAUGUAAGUUCUGGUUUCUUCAAGAAGAGUUCAAACUCUGCCUCUGUUGGCUCCUCUGUUGGCAUAUUGGUUCUAGCGAUUGUUGGCCUAUUGGGAAAGUACCCAGCAAAAACAUACUGGCCAAAGUUCACAGCUGAGUGAUGACCUGAAGUUACCCAUAUUAUGGUUGUUAAAACCUGGAUUAAAUCUUGUUGGGUUUUCAGGACAGGCCACCAUGGUUCAUCUUUCUUGUCUUCAUGGCCUUUAGCCCUAACAUCUUCCCACCAUGCUUGAAGUUCAUUGUCAGAUGCGACCUUGCUUGCUUCUGGGUAGUAGUGGUUCACAUAAUCAGUAACCCAUUGCUUAAUUGCAUCCCAAAGCAUCAGGCCAUCAUUGGCGAAUGGGUAGUCUUCGAUGGUUAGCUUCAAGCCAUGUUUUGCUGUUGGAUCCUCAACUGCCAUUCCCCUGCUGAUCAAGUCAUCUGGCAAUGCUUCUUUGUCGAAACGCCAGAGCU
rnacentral:misc_RNA from 1 species